rnacentral:lncRNA from 1 species
AUGAAAGUGAAAAAUGAAAGUGAAGUCACUCAGUCAUGUCUGACUCUCAGCGACCCCAUGGACUGCAGCCUACCCGGCUCCUCCGUCCAUGGGAUUUUCCAAGCAAGAGUACUGGAGUGGGGUGUCAACAAGUCUCUGGAGUCCGACAAAUCUAGCUGGCAACCGGCUGAAAAAGCGGCAGUUUUCAGCUGCAAGAGGCAUAAUUCCUGACUCCGAGCCUGCUUUCAGAGCCUGCCUGAGGUGGCCAAGAGGUCCUGCUUGAGGAGGGGUGUGAACAGAAUAACAUGAUCCUCUACAAGGCUGGCCACAAAUGUGCAUUUCAGACCUCUUGUGCAGUACUGGUAAGAAGGUGAGAAGAGGGGUGACCUGGAAUGGGGACCCCAAGGAUCCAUGGGGAUCCUGGGGCAGCCACACACCUGUGUAAAAGUCCAAGAAUGAGACGACUUGAAAUUUGAACCUGGAAUUCUGGUAGUUAUGAUGUACAUUUUUUCAAAGUCAGGUUGGAGUGAUGGAAUAUAUUUUAUUUAGCAGAUUGUUUGCUUGACUUACUUUUAUUUUUAAAGCUUAUUUGUAAUGUGAGGUAAUUGCAGAUUCACAUACACUUUUAAGAAAUAAUGUAAAGGUAUGUCUUGUACAUUUUUCCUAGUUUCUCCCAAUGAUAACAUUUUGCAAAAGUAUAGCAUAGUAUCACUACCAGGAUAUUGACAUAUAUACAGUCCAAAGAUAUUCUGAUUUCCCCAAUUUUACUUGGAAUUGUUGGUAUGUAAGUGUGUAUUAAGUUCUAUACAUUUUUUCAUCUGUGUCAGUUCAUCUAUUUGCUGUUACAGUCAUGUAUUUGCUAUUAUAAUCCUUGUAAUAUCACAAGAAUUCCUUGUGGAUUUCUUACUUUUAAAUACAUAGAACAUUUCCAGCAAGUGAGGGGGAGUAAUAUUAAACUUAAAUGUUUGGCCUAGGUUAAAUUUAGAGUAAAGUAAUAUUGAUACAUCAAAAUGGAGGAUACUUCUGAAAGGGAAAACUCUGCUUGAAACAAAAUGUGUGUAUUAACCCAGUAAUUCUGCUGGGAAAGGUUUUCUUCCCUCUUGCAUUUACAGAUGGGGGUUGUGGGGAGACUGUACCUGAAACCACGGCCUCCAAUUCUUGGGACAGGCUGUUUUUCUGUCCUUUAUUGCUCAAUACUCCACAUCUAUAUGGGGCUUCCCUGAUGGCUUAGUGGUGAAGAACCUGCCUGCCAAUGCAGGAAACAUGCGUUCAGUCCCUGGGUCAGGAAGAUCCCCUGGAGAAGGAAACAGCAACUCACUCCAGUAUUCCUGCCUGAAAAUUCCAUGGACAGAAGAGCCUGGCAGGCCACAGUCCAUGGGGUCACCAAAGAGUCUGAGAUUACUUGGCGACUAAAUGACAACUACAUCUGUAUGUUAUUUGCCCAACACGCCUCUCUUGUUCUUUUAUUGCUUAAUGCUCUGCAUCUGUGAACAUAAGAAAGCUGACCCUGGGGCAACCCUCUUAGUUUAGUAAAGCUCUUGGGCUUUCUAAAAGGCCUGGUUUUCAGAGUGUGUAGGAGGUUGAGGACCAUCCUGUUAUCUUAUUAGGAACCUAUAUAUAUCUCAGGGUUACCUCCACACUGGAUACAGACUUUUAGGCCACUAGGCCAACUCACAUUCUCCUGGGGCAGUUAACAAGGCAGAAAGGACUUUUAUUACCUGAUGAUGGUAGGAGUUAUCACUAAAAGCUAGGACCUCCUGGAACAUAUCAAAUGAGAAAAAUUGCUGUUAGGUUAUAGUCAGGAUUCAGUUCAGAGCAUUUCCACCCCUGACCUUCCUGUAGCUUGUCUCAGGGGCUCUGAGGCCUGUCCUGGAAUCCCUCUGAUGGUUGGCAGAAGCCUCUGUUCUGCCUCCCCAACCAGAUACAGCCUGUUGGCGGACUGGCUCUUCAAGCUCUUCUUUUCGGUCUUUUGGUUUCUAAGUCUCUGCGUUUUCGGUAGUUGGUUGACUCCUAGCAGGAGCUAAGACCUGAUCUGGGAAUGAAGCCAGGACCCAGGGCAGUCAAAAGACAGAAAUUGGCUGUGAAAAUAAACCUAAUACUUCCUCAGGAACUCUGGGGUGUUAGCAGUGUUCUGGAGGCAAACCAUUUGUUUAUUUCAGGGUCCAUGUUAUUGAGAUAUAUAAACAUGUUAGACAAACGAUUGGA